UGCCAAGGCAGUGAGUGCACGAGCAGAGU
rnacentral:piRNA from 1 species